CGACUCCAUUGAAAAGAACCAUAAUACAUGGAAAAAUUACUAGAAAGUCUAGGAAAACUGACUGAAUGCUUUGGAAAGACACAGUCAAGAUUAACAUGCUGAGACUCGGGAGGUGGUGAUUUGCCCAGGGACACAGAAAAAUAAAAAAAAAAGUGUCACAAGAAAGUUUACAGAACCUACUCAAACUCAAAGAGAAAUCAGAGACUAAAUUCUCAAAACUGGAAGCCGCCUACAGCAUCCACACUCUUCAGCCCUGUACUAUGUGAUGUGUAUUGCAAAUGGAGCCACCGGCAGUAUUUGUAUGAAC
rnacentral:antisense_RNA from 1 species